GAUGAAGAACGUAGCGAAAUGCGAUAAGUAAUGUGAAUUGCAGAAUUCAGUGAAUCAUCGAAUCUUUGAACGCAUCUUGCGCUCCUUGGUAUUCCGAGGAGCAUGCCUGUUUGAGUGUCAUUUUAACUUCUCAACCAUAUCGAAUUGUUUUUCGAGGUGGCUUGGACAUGGGGGUUUUUGCAGGCUUUAAUAAUGAAGUCGGCUCCUCUGAAAUGCAUUAGUGGUAUCUGAUGCAGAACUGCUACUAUUAGGUGUGAUAAUUAUCUAUGCCUCUUGGUAUACUGCAUGAACAGAUUGCGCUGCUUCCAACUUGUACACCCUUUGGUGUUUGACAAAUUUGACCUCAAAUCAGGUAGGACUACCCGCUGAACUUAAGCAUAUCAAUAAGCGGAGGA
rnacentral:misc_RNA from 1 species